rnacentral:rRNA from 1 species
UUCGAUGCACGCGAAAACCUUACCUACCCUUGACAUGUACGGACCCUCACAGAGAUGUGAGGGUGCUCGAAAGAGAACCGUAACACAGGUGCUGCAUGGCUGUCGUCAGCUCGUGUCGUGAGAUGUUGGGUUAAGUCCCGCAACAAGCGCAACCCUUGCCAUUAGUUGCUACAUUUAGUUGGGCACUCUAAUGGAACUGCCGGUGACAAACCGGAGGAAGGUGGGGAUGACGUCAAGUCCUCAUGGCCCUUAUGGGUAGGGCUUCACACGUAAUACAAUGGUAGGUACAGAGGGCGGCCAACCCGCGAGGGGGAGCUAAUCCCAGAAAGCCUAUCGUAGUCCGGAUUGUAGUCUGCAACUCGACUACAUGAGGCCGGAAUCGCUAGUAAUCGCGGAUCAGCAUGUCGCGGUGAAUACGUUCCCGGGUCUUGUACACACCGCCCGUCACACCAUGGGAGUGGGUUC